CACCAUGCAGUCCUAUAUUUGGUGUGGUCAUCCACUGGACUGAUUUAAGAUAGAGGAAGCAAGAGGAUCCAGAGACAAUAACAGCAAGAUUUUAAUAGAAAAGGAAGCUAAAAACUGAACUUCCAAGUAAUAUCCAUCAAGAAAGGACAACUGAACAUCUUACUCGAGAUUUGAGAAUACUAACAUUCAAGCAAUGAAAACUGAUGGCAAAAAUGAUAGACAUUUCUUGUGAAUACCACCAGAUUCCUGUGUGUGUAGCAAAAGGGAACUGAAAAAUCUGUUCGCAGUGCAGCUGAAAGUGUCAUAAUUACAGAGUGACAACCUCCACUGUCAUUUAGGAGGCAGCAUCCCCAGGAAAUCUUGCUGUGUAAUCAAGGAAAGAGGUGCAAUCAGGCCCCUAUUCAGGCUGCGUUGAGAAACACCCCUGCAGGAGGCAAAAGGCUUUGAGAUGUGGCUUUGUGAAGCUGGCAGUGAUGAUACCUCCAUGGUUCUGCUUGCUACCACUGCCACUCACUACACAAUUCCCCCUCCAA